CGGAACGUACCCAUUUGUGGGGGAUAACUAUCCGAAAGGAUAGCUAAUACCGCAUAAGUCCUGAGGGAGAAAGCAGGGGAUCGCAAGACCUUGCGCGAAUGGAGCGGCCGAUGCCGGAUUAGCUAGUUGGUAGGGUAAAGGCCUACCAAGGCGACGAUCCGUAGCGGGUCUGAGAGGAUGAUCCGCCACACUGGAACUGAGACACGGUCCAGACUCCUACGGGAGGCAGCAGUGGGGAAUUUUGGACAAUGGGCGCAAGCCUGAUCCAGCCAUUCCGCGUGAGUGAAGAAGGCCCUCGGGUUGUAAAGCUCUUUCGGCAGGAACGAAACGGUGGGGGCUAAUACCCCCUGCUAAUGACGGUACCUGAAGAAGAAGCACCGGCUAACUACGUGCCAGCAGCCGCGGUAAUACGUAGGGUGCGAGCGUUAAUCGGAAUUACUGGGCGUAAAGCGUGCGCAGGCGGUUAUGUAAGACAGAUGUGAAAUCCCCGGGCUUAACCUGGGAACUGCGCUUGUGACUGCAUAACUCGAGUGUGGCAGAGGGGGGUGGAAUUCCACGUGUAGCAGUGAAACGCGUAGAGAUGUGGAGGAACACCGAUGGCGAAGGCAGCCCCCUGGGUCAACACUGACGCUCAUGCACGAAAGCGUGGGUAGCAAACAGGAUUAGAUACCCUGGUAGUCCACGCCCUAAACGAUGCGAACUAGGUGUUGGAGAAGGAGACUUCUUUAGUACCGCAGCUAACGCGUGAAGUUCGCCGCCUGGGGAGUACGGUCGCAAGAUUAAAACUCAAAGGAAUUGACGGGGACCCGCACAAGCGGUGGAUGAUGUGGAUUAAUUCGAUGCAACGCGAAAAACCUUACCUACCCUUGACAUGCCAGGAACUUGGUAGAGAUACCUUGGUGCCCGAAAGGGAGCCUGGACACAGGUGCUGCAUGGCUGUCGUCAGCUCGUGUCGUGAGAUGUUGGGUUAAGUCCCGCAACGAGCGCAACCCUUGUCAUUAGUUGCCAUCAUUUAGUUGGGCACUCUAAUGAGACUGCCGGUGACAAACCGGAGGAAGGUGGGGAUGACGUCAAGUCCUCAUGGCCCUUAUGGGUAGGGCUUCACACGUCAUACAAUGGUCGGUACAGAGGGUUGCCAAGCCGCGAGGUGGAGCCAAUCCCAGAAAGCUGAUCGUAGUCCGGAUCGGAGUCUGCAACUCGACUCCGUGAAGUCGGAAUCGCUAGUAAUCGUGGAUCAGCAUGUCACGGUGAAUACGUUCCCGGGUCUUGUACACACCGCCCGUCACACCAUGGGAGUGGGUUUCACCAGAAGUAGGUAGCCUAACCGCAAGGAGGGCGCUUACCACGGUGGGAUUCAUGACUGGGGUGAAGUCGUAACAAGGUA
rnacentral:rRNA from 1 species